rnacentral:rRNA from 1 species
CAAUAGCGUAUAUUAAAGUUGUUGCGGUUAAAAAGUUCGUAGUUGGAUUUCUGCCAAGGACGACCGGUCCGCCCUCUGGGUGAGUAUCUGGCUUGGCCUGGGCAUCUUCUUGGAGAACGUUGCUGCGCUUCACUGCGUGGUGCGGUAUCCAGGACUUUUACUUUGAGGAAAUUAGAGUGUUUCAAGCAGGCUUCCGCCUUGAAUACAUUAGCAUGGAAUAAUAAGAUAGGACCUCGGUUCUAUUUUGUUGGUUUCUAGAGCUGGGGUAAUGAUUAAUAGGGAUAGUUGGGGGCAUUCGUAUUUAACUGUCAGAGGUGAAAUUCUUGGAUUUGUUAAAGACGGACUACUGCGAAANCANNNGCCAAGGAUGUUUUCAUNAA